UAUUUGAUUAUUGUCUCUAGCACGAGGAAUACAAUACUUUUGUUACUCUAAUUUUUAAGAGCAUAAACUGAAAAGGCUCAUAUAUAGCUUAUCAAGUUGGAACACAUACAUAUUGUCAAUUGACAAAUCCAAUUUCAAACAUAGUAACAUAUUAACAUAGUAACAUCCCACAUUCCCAUGGUAGUCACCGAGUCAGUAACUCAGUAGUACACCAGUACGGAGUAGGGUACUCCGUAAUAAUUUCCGGUAGAAGCGGAGUUGGUCGUCACCGAAAUGUAAAUGGCGAAAUCACAGACACCAUUUCUACACUCCCUUUUCUUCAUCUUCGUCUUUUUCAUCGUAUCUCUGAUUCAUCUUCUCCAUCCAUUCUUCGCGGAAUCCAUCCCCUCGACGCCAAUUAUUUUGAUUCAGAUGUAAUAAAAUGAAAAGAUGGUUCCAAUUCCUUCACCAAAGAUCGUCUCAACGACGACUUCUGCGAUUGCGUUGACGGCACCGAUGAACCUGUUUGCAGUGUUACAGGUUACCACAGAUUGAAAGGAGCCAAUGUACUAUUUCCUUUUGGUUUCUAAUGCAGCACCGGUAUGUCCAUCAAGGUUGCAACAAAUAAACUUGUGACCAUGAGUAUAUAGGGUUGAUCUGUUGCACGUGUACUAAAUUCUACACCGGUAUGAAAAUGGCAGCGCUUCUAGCGAAGGGGUUGGGGAUCCGGCCCCAAGAUUACAAACAAUAAAUAUGGAAGUUUUUACUUUGUUUCCUACAAAAUUGAGCAGUUUAGAAGGUAUAUAGGAAUGUAAUAUAUGUAUGGCCAAACAAAAAUGUAGAAUAAUAUAUGUAUGGCCAAACAAAAAUAUAGAAUAGUUAUAUGUUAUUAUCUUGAACAAAUAUAACCUUUUUGUGGUGGGAGUCUUGUGUAGUUGGCCUUUUUGUUAUUUUUAUCUCAAUAACGUAGAAUAGUACGAAGUAUAUUUUAUUAUUUUUUCAGUUACUCAUACAAAUAAUUCUUUGUACAAAA